rnacentral:SRP_RNA from 1 species
AUCAGGAAGUGUGUCCCUCGCCUGUAAUCCAAGUUACCGGGAGGCUGAGGCUGGAGGAGCUCUGGGCUGCAGCGGACUAUGUCGAUCGGGUGUCCGCACUAAGUUCGGUAUCGAUAUGGUGCUCCGGGGGGAGCCCGGGAUCACCAGGUCGUCUAAGGAGGGGUGCACCGGCCCAGGUCGGACACAGAGCAGGUCAAAGCCCCCGUGAAUAGACGCUGUAGUUCAGCCUGAGUAAGACAGCGGGACCCAGUCUUUA